UACGAAGGGGGCUAGCGUUGCUCGGAAUUACUGGGCGUAAAGGGCGCGUAGGCGGCACUGUUAGUCAGGCGUGAAAGUCCUGGGCUCAACCUGGGAAUUGCGCUUGAUACGGCAGAGCUAGAGGAUGGAAGAGGCUCGCGGAAUUCCCAGUGUAGAGGUGAAAUUCGUAGAUAUUGGGAAGAACACCGGUGGCGAAGGCGGCGAGCUGGUCCAUUACUGACGCUGAGGCGCGACAGCGUGGGGAGCAAACAGG
rnacentral:rRNA from 1 species